rnacentral:rRNA from 1 species
AGAGGCUACUGCUAUCAGAGUUCGAUUAAGCCAUGUUAGUCGAGGGUGGUCAUCCGAUGCCCUGCAUCUGAUGGCCAAACCGGCGGACGGCUCAGUAACACGUGGACAACCUACCCUUGGGUCCGGGAUAACCCCGGGAAACUGGGGCUAAUACCGGAUGGGACAUCGCUCGCUGGAAUGCGGGAUGUCCGAAAGCCGAGGCGCCCAAGGAUGGGUCUGCGGCCGGUUAGGUAGUUGUUGAUGUAACGGAUCAACAAGCCUACGAUCGGUACGGGUUGUGAGAGCAAUAGCCCGGAGAUGGGUUCUGAGAAAAGAACCCAGGUCCUACGGGACGCAUCAGGCGCGAAAACUUUACAAUGUGCGAAAGCACGAUAAGGGAACUCUGAGUGCCUCCUAAGGAGGCUGUUCAGGUGCCUAAAAAGCACCUGGAGU